rnacentral:rRNA from 1 species
UGGGGAAUCUUGGACAAUGGGGGCAACCCUGAUCCAGCGAUGCCGCGUGAGUGAAGAAGGCCUUCGGGUCGUAAAGCUCUUUAGGCUGGGAAGAAGUGUAGUAGAGGAAAUGCUAUUACAUUGACGGUACCAGCAGAAUAAGCACCGGCAAACUCUGUGCCAGCAGCCGCGGUAAUACAGAGGGUGCGAGCGUUAAUCGGAGUUACUGGGCGUAAAGGGCGCGUAGGCGGUUUAGUGAGUGUGGUGUGAAAGCCCCGGGCUUAACCUGGGAAGUGCAUCGCAAACGACUAGACUAGAGUAGAUGAGAGGGUGAUGGAAUUUCCGGUGUAGCGGUGAAAUGCGUAGAGAUCGGAAGGAACGUCGAUGGCGAAGGCAGUCACCUGGCAUCAUACUGACGCUGAGGCGCGAAAGCGUGGGGAGCAAACAGG